ensembl:lncRNA
GAAGAACUGGACCCCAAGGUCUCCAAGCUUCACCUCCUUUCACAACUUGAUAAUUAUCGAAUACAAAAGAUAUUUAAUCAGGCUCUGAAGGAGAUUCGUACCCCGUCAGUGGACUCUGAGUCUCUAGAGGAGAAGAAAAAGGAUGCUGACUGAGAUCCAGUCUGUCUUAUGUCAAGGAGAUUACAUACAUUUCUGGGAAGCCAGAGGAGCUGAUCAAGGCCAAGCUGAAGGAGAUCUGGGAGAAGAAGAGAGCUCUGGCUGCCCAGAGCAGAUGUGCCCUCUACCUCUAUCCAUAUCUCCUCCACCUGCCAGCUCUCAUCCACCGCCUUCACCCCUAGUCCCAACACCCUGACAGGGAAUAACAACCCGUUUCCUAUAUGUCUGACAACAGCAGAAAGGGCACUAAGAUGGAUCAAUGAAUUAGCCAACAUUCAGUUGUCUCGGGCUAGCUCUCUGGGUCAGGCAGGGGCAGCUAGGGGCUCUGUGAAACCAGUGGCUGCUGUUCUACGCACCGAAAGCGGCAAGAUCAUACUUCCUGCUUCCACACCAGCAGGCGGAGCGGUCUGCACAGUGAUGGUUAUGAAGAGACCAUCAACAGCCACCUCCACCACCAACACCACCUCAGCAGCCAAGGAGGCUGUGGAGAAGGAGAGCGCUGAGGAAAAGGAGUGUACACACUGGAUUAUCUGCACCUCUCGCUGACCCCUAGCCCACGGUGCUCUGUCUGCCACUGACCCUGAGAAGAAGGACCAGGGUAGAGUGUCUGGGGAGGCUGAGCAGUCCUCAGACAGCCCAGCAGAGGAGAGGCCAGCGGUAGGACCUGAGCCCUAGGACCAUGCCUCAGGACUACCUGGCAUAAGGACUCCUUGCUGUCCCCAGUCCACCUGGCCGUGCUGCUGCUCCAGUUUCAACUGUUCUGCCUGUGGCUAUGGAAUCCUGACCUGUUCACCGGACGUGCUACCGGUCCCAGACAUACUGUUUUCAACUCUCUAGAGACAGCAUGAUUGGCUAUGACAACUUCAGGUACCUUUUCUGACAGUUGAUGCUGCUGCUGAGAACGCAAUCCUGUACGCAUUCCUUUACCUCUCAUUGGAAUUCAGAUUUGCGGUGCACCAUCCCACCACAUGUCACUUAGAGUAGGCCAGAAGGCUAUACUGGAAAACCUAA